AUUGAACGCUGGCGGCAUGCCUUACACAUGCAAGUCGAACGGCAGCACGGGUGCUUGCACCUGGUGGCGAGUGGCGAACGGGUGAGUAAUACAUCGGAACGUACCUUAUCGUGGGGGAUAACGCAGCGAAAGUUGCGCUAAUCCCGCAUACGCCCUGAGGGGGAAAGCGGGGGACCGUAAGGCCUCGCGCGAUUAGAGCGGCCGAUGUCUGAUUAGCUUGUUGGUGAGGUAAAAGCUCACCAAGGCGAUGAUCAGUAGCUGGUCUGAGAGGACGAUCAGCCACACUGGGACUGAGACACGGCCCAGACUCCUACGGGAGGCAGCAGUGGGGAAUUUUGGACAAUGGGGGCAACCCUGAUCCAGCAAUGCCGCGUGGGUGAAGAAGGCCUUCGGGUUGUAAAGCUCUUUUGUCAGGGAAGAAACAGCAGCUCUAACACAGUCUGCGAAUGACGGUACCUGAAGAAUAAGCACCGGCUAACUACGUGCCAGCCGCCGCAGUAA
rnacentral:rRNA from 1 species